GCCUCGGCGGAUCAGCCCGCUCCCGGUAAAACGGGACGGCCCGCCAGAGGACCCCUAAACUCUGUUUCUAUAUGUAACUUCUGAGUAAAACCAUAAAUAAAUCAAAACUUUCAACAACGGAUCUCUUGGUUCUGGCAUCGAUGAAGAACGCAGCAAAAUGCGAUAAGUAAUGUGAAUUGCAGAAUUCAGUGAAUCAUCGAAUCUUUGAACGCACAUUGCGCCCGCCAGUAUUCUGGCGGGCAUGCCUGUUCGAGCGUCAUUUCAACCCUCAAGCACAGCUUGGUGUUGGGACUCGCGUUAAUUCGCGUUCCUCAAAUUGAUUGGCGGUCACGUCGAGCUUCCAUAGCGUAGUAGUAAAACCCUCGUUACUGGUAAUCGUCGCGGCCACGCCGUUAAACCCCAACUUCUGAAUGUUGACCUCGGAUCAGGUAGGAAUACCCGCUGAACUUAAGCAUAUCAAUAAGCGGAGGA
rnacentral:rRNA from 1 species